UGGGGAAUAUUGCACAAUGGGCGCAAGCCUGAUGCAGCCAUGCCGCGUGUAUGAAGAAGGCCUUCGGGCUGUAAAGUACUUUCAGCGGGGAGGAAGGUGUUGAGGCUAAUAACCUCAGCAAUUGACGUUACCCGCAGAAGAAGCACCGGCUAACUCCGUGCCAGCAGCCGCGGUAAUACGGAGGGUGCAAGCGUUAAUCGGAAUUACUGGGCGUAAAGCGCACGCAGGCGGUCUGUCAAGUCGGAUGUGAAAUCCCCGGGCUCAACCUGGGAACUGCAUUCGAAACUGGUAGGCUAGAGUCUUGUAGAGGGGGGUAGAAUUCCAGGUGUAGCGGUGAAAUGCGUAGAGAUCUGGAGGAAUACCGGUGGCGAAGGCGGCCCCCUGGACAAAGACUGACGCUCAGGUGCGAAAGCGUGGGGAGCAAACA
rnacentral:rRNA from 1 species